UACGUAGGGUGCAAGCGUUGUCCGGAAUUAUUGGGCGUAAAGAGCUCGUAGGCGGUUUGUCGCGUCUGCCGUGAAAGUCCGGGGCUCAACUCCGGAUCUGCGGUGGGUACGGGCAGACUAGAGUGAUGUAGGGGAGACUGGAAUUCCUGGUGUAGCGGUGAAAUGCGCAGAUAUCAGGAGGAACACCGAUGGCGAAGGCAGGUCUCUGGGCAUUAACUGACGCUGAGGCGCGAAAGCGUGGGGAGCAAACAGG
rnacentral:rRNA from 1 species